UCUGCUUUAAUAUGGAACAUAGCAAAUACUAGUAGUACUUGCCUAAGUCCAUAGACUUAUGUCUGUGAACAAUAGGGAAACAAAAUUUCGGUUGUUUGAAGUGUAUUUAACAAGCCAUUCAUCUUUCUUUGGUGGUUCCAGAGCACAGAGGAUAUAUUAGCAUUUCAUGGAGGAAGAAAACAGGUUGAACUAGCAUACUUUACAUACAUUGUUUUUCCUUCACGUCAAAUACAGAAAGCAAAGCUGAAACCUAUUUCGUAAAAAAAAAAAUAGACAACUGAUAUUUGAGAGCUAGAUCAUGGAUAAAGCCUGUCAGCUACAUAUACAGAGAAAAAAAUAGGCUAAUGAUUACAAUUGCAAUAUAUGGGCGCCUCGUGGUGUCCGUGAUCUUUAUCAAUCGCUUAAGCUCCUCCUCACAAUGGAAGCCAGCAAGAGAUGCAUAGCAGAAGCGGGUGAUGCCAACAGUUGAUGCAAGAAUCUUAUGAGACAGUGAGAAAGAGUCAUUGACAAAUAUUGUGGCACCUGAAGCUAGCUUCCGCGAAAAAUUAUUGCAAUUAGCAACUUCUCCUCUGAAGCUCAGAA